ACCCUGAGUUGUUCCACAGCCCACCUGCUGGGAUUUGUGGAGCAAGCUGGGGCUCUGCAGGCCAAGUGGGUCCAGGUGGUGGCAAAUCGGAGUGUCCACUGUAUCUGUGACUGGUGAGUGGCAGGGAGCCCCAACACAAAAGGCAAGGUUCAGCUCCCAGCUGACCCCACUGGAGCCUUUGGGAAGCAGUCUGAUUUGUUACUAGAUGACUUGUUGCUGCUACUGUUUGGGAAUUGAUGGCUCAAGAGUUCUCCGUGGUGAUGGAGGACAGCGUGGUAAAGGCCUUGGACAUGUAGCCCAACUGCACAGACUUCACCUGCUGCCCAGGUCCCGACAUCAUCUCGCAGCUC
rnacentral:lncRNA from 1 species